rnacentral:tRNA from 1 species
GCAGUCGUGGCCGAGUGGUUAAGGAAAUCCAUUGGGGUCUUCCCGCACAGGUUUGAAUCCCGUCGACUGCG